rnacentral:rRNA from 1 species
AAAGACCCCGGGACCUUCACUAUAGCUUGGUAUUGGUGUUCGGUUCGGUUUGUGUAGGAUAGGUGGGAGACUGUGAAGUGGGCACGCCAGUGUUCAUGGAGUCGUUGUUGAAAUACCACUCUGAUCGUAUUGGACUUCUAACCUCGGACCCUGAUCGGGUUCAGGGACAGUGCCUGGUGGGUAGUUUAACUGGGGCGGUUGCCUCCUAAAAGGUAACGGAGGCGCCCAAAGGUUCCCUCAGCCUGGUUGGCAAUCAGGUGUUGAGUGUAAGUGCACAAGGGAGCUUGACUGUGAGACGUACAUGUCGAGCAGGGACGAAAGUCGGGACUAGUGAUCCGGCACCGGCAAGUGGAAGCGGUGUCGCUCAACGGAUAAAAGGUACCCCGGGGAUAACAGGCUGAUCUUCCCCAAGAGUCCAUAUCGACGGGAUGGUUUGGCACCUCGAUGUCGGCUCGUCGCAUCCUGGGGCUGGAGUAGGUCCCAAGGGUUGGGCUGUUCGCCCAUUAAAGCGGCACGCGAGCUGGGUUUAGAACGUCGUGAGACAGUUCGGUCUCUAUCCGCCGCGCGCGUAAGAAACUUGAGGAAACCUGUCCCUAGUACGAGAGGACCGGGACGGACGAACCUCUGGUGUGCCAGUUGUCCCGCCAGGGGCACUGCUGGUUAGCUACGUUCGGAAGGGAUAACCGCUGAAAGCAUCUAAGCGGGAAGCCUGUUCCAAGAUGAGGUUUCUCACCCCCUUCGCGGGGUUAAGGCCCCCCACAGACCAUGGGGUUGAUAGGCCAGAACUGUACGCACAGCAAUGUGUUCAGGUGACUGGUACUAAUCGGCCGAGGACUUACCAACAACAC